rnacentral:lncRNA from 1 species
CUGCUAUGUCACGAGAACUCAAGCCACCCUGUGGAGAAUUCCACACGGAGUGCAGCUGAGGCCUCCCAACAACAACCAGCAGCAAUUUGCAAACCAUGUGAGUGAACUCCUGAUGCAGAACUGCCUAGCUCCCAAAGUCUGGACCCAGGCACUGUCUUGGGUGCCAAGGACACAAAGAUACAUCAGCCAUUGUCUGUCCUCCUGGAGUUCAUACUUAUUAGCCUGGACCUUCAGCUUCUCUCUGCUCCAGGCAGUGAGUGAUUCGGACUCAGUUUUAUCUACUGCCUGAGCUCGUCCUGGCCAAGUAGAAACAGAAGCCGGGCAGCAGGUCCAAAGACAAAACCAUGCCUUAGGGACUGUCUGGUGAGGACACUACUGACAUGCAACUCCAAGUGGAUCAUUGCUACAGGAGUCACCUGAACUGCUGGCCCUGCUGCUCCUGGAAGCUAGAUGUGACUUCUGUUGUCUCCGCUACUGCCAGAGUGAUUUCUCAUUUUUGUGUGACUCACUCCAGCUUCCUAGUCCUAGCUGAGAUCUCUAGUCGGCUGAUCUCAAGUCACAUGUCCAUGUCCUGGCUGCCAAGAAGGCGGGAGAAAAGAAAAUCUGACCUUUGGUGUGGGGAGGUGGACUCUGUCCCCCCAGCAAGACUCACAUGGUGUCUCCUACAGCUACUGGUGUGUUUUUUGCAUAUUGGCCUUCCAACAUUUCUUGUUGAAUUAUUUCAGGCUCACCUUGGUCAUAAUGAGUGGAUCUGGCUUUACCCAGGGCUUCAGCCUUUAGCAUUUCACAUGAGGAAUAUCCACUGAGCUGGGGGUCAAGAGGCCUGACCUUUAAUCUUGGCUCUGCCCCAGGCAAGUGUGAACUUGGGUAAGAACACUGAGGCCAGGAAAUGUUGAGUGACGUGUCCAUACUCACAUAGCAUGGAAGAAUCAGAGGCCAUGGGGUCAGGACCUAUGGGCUUAGGAUAUACCGGAAGAGGCCUGAUUUCCAGUCGAGCAUUUGCCAAAAAUCAGCAGCGUGA